GAUGAACGCUGGCGGCGUGCCUAAUACAUGCAAGUAGAACGCUGAAGGAGGAGCUUGCUCUUCUGGAUGAGUUGCGAACGGGUGAGUAACGCGUAGGUAACCUGCCUGGUAGCGGGGGAUAACUAUUGGAAACGAUAGCUAAUACCGCAUGACAACAGUUAUUGCAUGAUAACUGUUUAAAAGGGGCGACUGCUCCACUACCAGAUGGACCUGCGUUGUAUUAGCUAGUUGGUGAGGUAACGGCUCACCAAGGCGACGAUACAUAGCCGACCUGAGAGGGUGAUCGGCCACACUGGGACUGAGACACGGCCCAGACUCCUACGGGAGGCAGCAGUAGGGAAUCUUCGGCAAUGGACGGAAGUCUGACCGAGCAACGCCGCGUGAGUGAAGAAGGUUUUCGGAUCGUAAAGCUCUGUUGUAAGAGAAGAACGAGUGUGAGAGUGGAAAGUUCACACUGUGACGGUAUCUUACCAGAAAGGGACGGCUAACUACGUG
rnacentral:rRNA from 1 species